rnacentral:lncRNA from 1 species
UAUGCCCAAAACAUCUACUGAUUUAGGAAAUCAAGCCUAUGUGCGGUCUUGGGGGAAAUUGCUAGACCGCUUUGCCCUUUCUCUGCACUUAGUACUGUCUGUACAUUACUUAAGUCCUUUGCACUGGAAAGAUGAACUGUCCUAUAAAAUAGUGUUCUUUAUUACCAUGGUAUCCAUGUCCCUCACUUGUCAGCCGUUCUCACAUCUGCACGGCGAAGAGAGUUACACCCCACAGCGAUGCCACAAUUGUAAAAGUUUUCCUCUGGCAGCUUCUCUCUUUCUCUCUGAUUCUUCAUCCUGACUAUCUUUCACUCCCUUCCCAUCUCUGGUCUGAUUUCUGGCAUGUGCUGCCCUCCUUCUCAGGUCCUGCUCUUUCCCCAACUCAGCAUCUCCAGGGACAUAUGGCUGUAACAGAACACACACUGCUCACUGCCACACUCCCCUGCCCUUUGCUGCUUUGUUCACGCUCAGCUCUCAGGACAGGUUCAUGUCACAGGAGCCUUCUCUGAUGGUUCUUGCUCACGUGGCCAUCCAUGCUGCGCCCCAGUCACUCUGCUUUGCGGUAUUCUGUAUUCUUACAAUGCCCUGUCAUGUUCCUUCCUGGCUCUGAUUGUAUUUUUUGUUACAUAUGUAUUUGUUUGGUGAUUUGUUUACUGUUCUUAUCCUACACUAGGUGUCAAGCUCUGUGCAGACAGAACUGUGUCUGUUUUCUCCUUGUCAUAUUCCCAGCAGCUACCACAGGGCUUUCUAUAUGAUCAGUGCUUGUGGAUUUUUGUUGGAUGAGUGGGUGGAUGCAUGAAUGCAUGGAUGGUUCAUCUUGUUUCAGGGAGCAAGUAUGGUGAUGUGUAUGUCUCAAGUGCAUGGGCUUAAUUACCAUUUUCAUCUCUCAGCUGUGUAAUUUUGAGCAAGUGGGUCAAGCUCUCUGUGUCUCAGGAAAUGGAAAAAAAAACCAUGAUAGAAUGAUUUUGAGAAACAAGAUUAUCCAGCAAAACCAUUUUACAAAGUGCCUAGUGUAUACUAAAUUAUCUAAUGGUAACUAAGGUGAAAUAAAACCUUUUUUUCCGAACUAUCUGGUUAGAAUUAGUAAAUACUCUUAAAUAUUAAAGUAAUAUAGGGCAAUAUUAUUUAAUUCAGUUUGCAAUAUGGCUUUUUUUGUGAGCAGAUUGAGUGUAUUAGAAUACGUAUUAACUCCUUAUAUGGAUGUAGAAUUUAAUUUUCUUCCUUGGGAGUUCCCGUUGUGGCAUAGCAGAAACAAAUCUGACUAGGAACCAUGAGGUUGCAGGUUUGAUCCCUGGCCUCGUUCAAUGGGUUAAGGAUCCAGCGUUGCCGUGAGCUGUGGUGUAGGUUGCAGAUGAGACUCGGAUCUGGUGUUGCUGUGGCUCUGGCGUAGGCCAGCGGCUGCAGCUCUGAUUAGACCACUAGCCUGGGAACCUCCAUAUGCCGCACGUGCGGCCCUAAAAAAAGACAAAAAAAAAUUUUUUUCUUCUUGUGUUAGAUGUCACUUCUCUGAAUGAAUAAGUAGCUCUAGGAGAAAGCUAAACUUUUCCCCUCUAAAACUGUAUUCCAUGACAAGUGCAAUAAGGUUGUGGUCCCUAAAAGGCUCAUAAUACACUUGUUUUACCUUUUACAAGUUAAAGAAAACCACCAUAUCUUGUGUGUUCUAUUUUUUAAAAAUCCAUUUGACUUCAUUUAUUGAUCUUCAUAGUCUUUAUAGAGAGCUUCACUCUCCCCAUUUGAUAGAUUAGAAAACCAGGGCCGCCCUGAUUAAAUGAACUGCCAAUUCGUGGGAACAGAGAUUUAUUGAAUACUUGCUCUCUGCCAGGUGCUCUGGGAGAUAGAAAGAAGAGUCAGCCUCAGGCUGAGCUCUCCAGGAUGGGAGGUUCCACAGAAAGAAAUAGACACGUGUCAUCAGUGGGAUCUGGGCUGCUGACCAGGAGCCCUUCCCACCUGCCAUCUGCGUGUCCUGGUGAUGAGUAUGUUGAGGGAGGAAGUGAGGCUAAGGGCAUCAGCCCUUCUAAGUAGGAAUCAAAACGGCUGAUGUGAGAGACAUCUGCUCUCAAGACCUAAUAAAGAACUUCCCGAGCAUGACAACAGUUCCUAAAAUGCUGAGGCUUUCCCACUUUCUCACUGUCAAAACAAGAAAACUAAUUGCCCCCAGGCUCCUUGAUUAUCUGCAACCAGCUGCUCCUUUGACCACUUGAAAAAUGAACAGGCAUCCCCAAGGAGGUGUGUUUACAGGAGGUGGCGGAAUUAUAGCUGAGUCGUCACUGGCCUACUUAUUGCUCUGGGUCAGGCCUCGUCUUCGGCCCCUGGUGCUCUGGGAUCCUGGCUAAGCUGCUUGCUGUCUUCUUUUCACUUUUGUUCCUUUACACAACUACACAUUCUGUAUACUUUUGUUCUCCCUUGGGAUGGAAGCACACUCCUUUUUGUGAUGUACCUCUGCAAAUCACUUAAACCCACUGAACUUCAUUUCCUCAUCUGUCCAAUGGGAACAAGAGCUGUCCUGAAACCUGCUUCAAAGGGUUGGUGCUAAUUAGUCAAACACGGGGCUUUUUUUUCUUUUAUGGUCUUGUUGAAGGGGGACAAAUCAUAAAUAAGCAAAUUAUUGCAUAUGAUGGGUGGUGAGACGUGCUAUGAAGAAAAAUGAAGCAGGGGCUGGAGAGAACAAAGGAGGGCGCUGUUUCAGGUAGUGGUGAAUCAGCCUGUGAGUUCUGGAGGGCAGUGUUCAACGUGGACUGCAUAGCGAAGAGCCUGUGCAAAGGCCCGGUGGUGGGAGUGUAUUCAAUCGUGGGAAAAAUGAGAAGGAAGCCAGUGUGGCUGGAUCUGAGUGAGCUAAGGAGAGUUGAUAGGUUAGUCAUCAAGAAAGGUGGUGGAGGGGUGUUUCAGAUCACAUUAUACACCUUGGCAAGAAUUGUGGCUUUUAUUCUAAGUUUGGUGAAGAGCCGUGAAGGGUUUGGGGCAUGCUUUGACGUGAUCUGAUGGAUGUUGGAAGAAUCAGUCUGCCUGCUGGGUGGGGAGUGUGCUGUGAGGAGGCAGAAUGGAACCAAGGAGAGCGUGUACCUAUGUGGGACGGAGGUGCUGUGGCUGAACUAGUAAACUCUACUCUGAUGGGAGUUAGAAUUUCCAAGGUCUCAGCUGAAGAGGGAUGCAAGUAUUGGUUGGUCACCUCCCCGUAGGUGGAUGACCAGGGGCUUUGCAGCCAGGCCCUGGAGAAUCAGCAAGGUCUGAAGGGAGGGAGAGUCCCAAAGCUGAAGCCACCGCCCCUUGAGCUUGUUACCAUGCUGUCCAUGCAGGACAACUGGUCACUGAGGCUCCUGCAAGACCCCGAGAGGCAGCACCCUCUCUGCUACAAUGUCAGAUCAAGGGUUCUUUCAGAGCCCAUUCAUAUUUGUGGAAGUUCUCUGAAAUACGGGAUACAGUGCUAGAAGAAAACUAAGCUUCAAGCCAGAAGAAAGAUGUAUUUCUCUUGCAGUACCAGUAUUCUGAACCAUUCCUGGGGGAGGGGUGCUGGAAAUGGGGGGAGACCAUUCACAGAAAAUGCAGAGUAGAAUUUCUUGCCCACCUGAGUUGUGGUGGGUAUGUUUUGACCCUGAUAUAUAUGCACAGCCUUUGGCAGAGUGUCUGGGCCUAAGUGCUCGGUAACCGUUCUUUGGUUGGUGCGACAGCAAUGCAAGCAAGGAGUGCAUUGUCAAGGGGAAUGACACCACUUCUCAGGGAGCCAGUGCCUUGGUGACUUCAGAACUUCCAGAACUAGGUCUUCUCAGUGUCCUCGCCCUCCAACUUCUGCCCAUCAAGUGGUGCCAGCAAGCCUAUUUAUAGCCUUUGCUGCUUCCUCUAUAGCUACAGUGCAGUACCAGGUAAAACAAAUGAGGAGGAGGAGCGGUGGAAAUCAGUCACAUCAGGAAAGUCAUUUGUUAACGUGGGCAGAGACCAUCACCCCGUCAUCCUCCUGCCCUGGCUACGCUCCAGGCUGUAGACAUGUUCCCUUGCCCCAUAAAUCCCCAUGGGGCUUUGGCCAGGGAAAUGAUUGCUGCUUUUUGAGAGUUCUCCACACGUGCUUUCUCUUUGCAGGGCUUGGAAUCAGUCCUUGAGAGAAUAUGGGCAUUUAGAAAAUGCUGCCAGGCACUUUCCAUUAGGUACCCACUUCUUUCAUUUCCAAGCUGGGAAUAAACUUCUACUUCGUCUGUGAAUGAGUGACCUGUCUUAGGAUCUGUAGGAUUUCUGUGGGCAGGAUUUUUUUUUUUCUUAAUUUCAAGCUUAUGGCUUGGGCAUUAGAAACAGAAGUGUGUAUUUCCCCAAGGAGGAAAAUGGGAUAUCAAAUCGUGUUAAUCAAAGGUACUCACGUCUGUUGCUUGGUAUUUUGAGAACCUAACUUAUGAACACAUGAUAGAGUAUGUAUGCUGUGUGGAGUGGAUCCUCAAAAAUCUAGUGGCGUUUCCGUUUCAAUCACUGGUGGGUUGGUGAAUGCAAGCCUGUGGCGCUUACCGAAAUCGACAAGGUAAAUCCAUCCACAAUAUUCUCCACUUCCCUGUAAGCCCCUUGAUUUUGAGCAAUAGAUCUAACAACUACUUUCUUAAAGAGAUUAAGAUGAAGUCUAAUUUAAGGCCUAAGUUAUACUAAGUGCAGUAUUGUAUCCUGGAUUGAAUCUUGGACCAGAAGGAGGACCAUCAUAGACAUACUGGGGAAAUCCCAACAAAAUAGAUAGUUCAUGAAAACAUUUCUGUUAAAAGGAAUUGCACAAAUGUUAAUUUCUUAGGUUGGGUGAGUGUAAUAUGGUUGUAUAAGAUGUGAACAUGAAGGCAAACUGAGGGAAAGAUACAUACUAUUUUGUCUCUGCAACAUUAUUAUGCAUCUGAAAGGAUUUGCAAAUAAAACGUUAAGUUAAAAAUGCGUAUAAUGGGAGAUGGUUUGGGGAUCUUUGCUGUGCCAUUCAAAUGCAGUGCUAAAGGCACUGUCCCAGUGUACAUACAAAUCAGUGAGAAUCUGUAGAGACGGCGAUGAGUUCUUAUACCCAAGCUUUAGCGUAGGAGUCAGUACCCAAGCUGUAACAACCGCUACCUGCAUGGCAGGUACAGUUUGCCCUGCACUGUAUGGGUGAGGGAACUGAGGCUUAGCGUGGGAAAAAAACAGAAGUCCUCCAAACCAACAUCAACAGGUAGUGAUAGGGGACUCAGCAUUGUAACCCCUGCUCCUUGGUACACACACCUGCUCUCAACCAAGGAGUGGGAGGCAUCCCUUCCAAACAUGGCCUUAUCAUUUAUUAACUGUGAUCCUGGCCAAUUCCUAAACUCGUCUGGCUCUCGGAUUUCUCAUUUAUAAAACAAGAAGAUUGAGAUUGAUGACCCAUAAGGCUUCUUUCAAUGCCGAAAUCCUCUCACUUGGUGACCUACAUAGAGAGUACAUUUUAAUUGAAAUGUUACCAUUCAACUUUUCUAUCCAGUGGAAUCCCUUCAAGACUUAUGGAAAAUAACCUUUUGAUCUGAGAGGGCUUAUGUGACAUUUGAGUUCUCAUCCGCAUUCAUUUCUUUCUCUGAAUAAUCGUGCCAUCUCCUUAUUUCUGGCUAGACAUUUUCUAGUCCCAGGAAGUGUGAACACCUGUGAGAUAAAUUUUCUCUCUAAUUCUUUAUGAUAAAAUUUUCAAUAAUGAUUUUUAGCAUAGAUUUGAACAUGUUUAUUUUUAUCUUAAUACAUAUUGUUGGCAGUUCAGGAAUGAGGAGAGAUUUGCAAUGAUGAGCUAUUCUGAAAGUUAUGGCAUAUCAUAUGCUGGUUUGUAAAAGUAAAAGCACUAUUACCCAAUUUCAUAUGAAUUAACCAAAGACUUUCUAAUUGAUGGGUUAAUAUGAAUUUGAUACUUUUUAUUUGAUUUCAGAUAUUACUUUGGUAACCCAUUAACUAUCUUUAAAACUUGACAUAAGGCAAAUCAAUAUUCAGCAAAAUAAAAUUAACAGUAAACACUGAAAUUUCUGAGUCUUGGAAGAAAUUUAGCCAAUGUGAAUAGAUUCUUAAAAAUUCAAUAGUGCUUGAUUAUAACUUGCUUUAUUAUAUAAAACCAAUGUAAGAGGACCAAAAAUGUGUACUUGCUAAAAGAUCAUUUCCUGGUAUGCCGUGUAAAAUUUUUUUUAAAUGGUUUUUACUAACCUGCUUUACAAGAUCUUGAUGAUAGCUAUAGUGCUUCAAUGCAUUGGUGCACGCACAAAUACCCAAAUAUCCAAAUUAAUGUUAUUUAUAUUCUUGACAAAAAAUAAACAAAAGAGGCAAAUAAGUAGUUAUUCAACUGAAAGGAAUAAAAUUGAAAGGGAAAAUAAUUGUCAUUUUGCUAAAUGCUGUUAUAUCGAGGAAAAAGAGGGUGGAAAAACACAGUAAGUGUAUACACAUUUGCAUUAGUUUCAAUAUACAAGAUUAAAUUGAUGUCUUCAUAUGUUAUCUCUUUCAUGCAUAGAAUCGCUUCUGAUUCCUCCCAUUUCAGUGCCCUUUUAGCUGCUAUUGAUGCAGAAAAAUCUUAGCGAAAUACUAAAAAUUCCUCACUAUAUUAAAUAUAUAAAUUUAUUUCCUUUAUAAUAAUGAAGUAAUAACUUCUUUUAUAGUUAACUUGACCUUUAAUCAUUACUCCUUUGAUAAUAAAUUUUAUGAAAACACGGUGCCUAUACUUUUUUAAUGAUGAUCAAUCAUAUGGAAAAUUAAGUUCUUUGUAUUGCACCUGUACUUACUAGUUUUGUGACUUUACAAAGUCAUGCAAACUUGUUGAGUCCCAGUUUUCUUAUACAUACAAUGAGCUUAAUUUUUCUAGCUGGAUUUACCUCAGGAGCUUCAUGGAUUUGAAAAUUCUUUGUAAAGUAGACAGAGCUACAUUCUGGGCAGUUACAAAUGUUCAGUCAUUCAAUAUUUAUUCAGUGUUUAUUAUGUGCUGAGCACCAAGUUCAUGGUGCCUCAAUGAGCAAGACAAAAGAAAAAACCGUAGUCAAGUGUUUGAGAUUCUAAUUAGAAUAGACAACCUGAGUUCCUGCUGUGGCGCAGUGGUUAAUGAAUGCGACUAAGAACCAUGAGGUUGCGGGUUUGAUCCCUGGCCUUGCUCAGUGGGUUACGGAUCCAGCGUUGCUGUGAACUGUGGUGUACUUUGCAGAUGCGUCUCGGAUCCCGCAUUGCUGUGGCUCUGGCCGUAGGCCGGGGGCUACAGCUCCGAUUCGACCCCUAGCCUGGGAAUCUCCAUAUG